UACCAGCUCUCCGAGUGGUAGGGAUGUUUAUUGGGCUUAAAGCGUCCGUAGCCGGCUUAGCAAGUCUCCUGUUAAAUUCAGCGACCUAAUCGUUGAGCCGCGGGAGAUACUACUAGGCUAGGAGGCGGGAGAGGUCAACGGUACUUCCGGGGUAGGAGUGAAAUCCUAUAAUCCCGGGAGGACCACCAGUGGCGAAGGCUGUUGACUAGAACGCGCUCGACGGUGAGGGACGAAAGCUGGGGGAGCGAACCGGAUUAGAUACCCGGGUAGUCCCAGCUGUAAACGAUGCGAGCUAGGUGUUGGGGUGGCUACGUGCCACUUCAGUGCCGCAGGGAAGCCAUUAAGCUCGCCGCCUGGGGAGUACGGCCGCAAGGCUGAAACUUAAAGGAAUUGGCGGGGGAGCACCACAAGGCGUGAAGCUUGCGGUUC
rnacentral:rRNA from 1 species